UUUCUACUCCCUUCGUCCGAAAAUACUUGUCAUCAAAAUGGAUAAAAAGAGAUGUAUCUAAAACUAAAAUACGUCUAGAUACAUUUCCUUUUAUCCAUUUUGAUGAAAAGUAUUUCCGGACGGAGGGAGUAUUUG
rnacentral:pre_miRNA from 1 species